rnacentral:ribozyme from 1 species
CACACGCGCGAACAACGAACAAGACGAAGAAGAAGAAGAAGAAGAAGAAUGGCGAGCGCGAAAGUGAUGACACCCCCAACAACAACAACGGCGAUGGACGCUUCGACCGCGACG